GACGAACGCUGGCGGCGUGCUUAACACAUGCAAGUCGAACGGAAAGGCCCCUUCGGGGGUACUCGAGUGGCGAACAGGUGAGUAACACGUGAGUAACCUGCCCUUGACUUCGGGAUAACUUCAGGAAACUGGGGCUAAUACCGGAUAGGAAUCCUUGCUGCAUGGUGGGGGUUGGAAAGCUUCUGCGGUUUUGGAUGGACUCGCGGCUUAUCAGCUUGUUGGUGGGGUAGUGGCUUACCAAGGCGUUGACGGGUAGCCGGCCUGAGGGGGCGACCGGCCACAUUGGGACUGAGAGACGGCCCAGACGCCGACGGGAGGCAGCAGUGGGGAAUAUUGCACAAUGGGCGGAAGCCUGAUGCAGCAACGCCGCGUGCGGGAUGACGGCCUUCGGGUUGUAAACCGCUUUCAGCAGGGGCGAAGCUUGUGGUGACGGUACCUGCAGAAGAAGCACCGGCUAACUACGUG
rnacentral:rRNA from 1 species